rnacentral:lncRNA from 1 species
CAUCUCUCUGCAGUGGUGGAACCUUCCCAUAUGAUGAUGGCUCGAAGCAGGAGAUAAAGAACAGCUUGUUUGUUGGUGAAAGUGGCAAUGUGGGCACAGAAAUGAUGGACAACAGGAUCUGGGGCCCAGGUGGCUUGGACCACAGUGGAAGGACCCUCCCUAUUGGCCAGAAUUUUCCAAUUAGAGGAAUUCAGUUCUACGAUGGCCCCAUCAACAUCCAGAACUGCACCUUCCGAAAGUUUGCAGCCCUCGAGGGCAGACACACUAGUGCCUUGGCCUUCCGCCUAAACAAUGCCUGGCAAAGCUGUCCUCACAACAAUGUGACCAACAUUGCCUUUGAGGAUGUCCCG